CGUAAGAGGCUAGUGUUAAUCAUCUUAAUUAGGUUUAAAGGGUACUCAGGCGGUAAAUUUACUUAAAAGUAAGAAUUAUACUAGAGUUAUAGGUAAGAAGGUAGUACACGAGGUGUAGAGAUAAUAUUUUGUAUACCUUGGAGACUGGUAAAUGCGAAGGCAACCUUUUAUGUAAUAACUGACGCUAAAGGACGAAGGCAUAGAGAACUAACAGGAUU
rnacentral:rRNA from 1 species